CCGUGGAGGGCUGGGGGUUCUCUCCGGGAGGUGGCGCAGCCCCGUUGCUCUUUCAACGGAGUAAGUUCGCAGAGCUCUGGCACGGACAGUCUGGCGGCCAACUGCUCUUCGCUUUCUAGUGUCUGGGCUGGAGGGUCCUUGAGCUGGGUUCCACAGAAGGGAUUGAUCGUACGGGCGGGUAAGGUCUCCACGUGGCGCUGAUCCAAAGAUUGUGCGCCGCGCGGGCGUGGGAAGAUCCGAGCUGCCCCUGAAGGUGACAUUUCAUACUGGGCUUUACCCCGGGAUUGAGGAGCCCCGAGCCCGCAGUGAGCAACCAAUCGAGUAGAACCCACGCGUCUGGGCUGGGGAAAAGGAGGCAGCGAGUGCCCAGAAGUUGGGUAGCACAGGAGAUCCAUAGACCUUAGUUCUGUAUCCCAGGUUUCCGCCUUACAGAUCUAUGCCAGGUCCUGCGCUUAAGCUUUACAGGCAUCAUCGUCGCAAGUAUUAUGUUUCCUCAUUUAUAGAGAAGGAGACAAGCUCAGAGCCACGAAGCCACCAGCCACAGUCAACAAUGUGCCGAAGGGACAAAGCAUAGAUUGGGACCC
rnacentral:lncRNA from 10 species